AAGGAGCAGAGAGGCAGAAGCAUUGUGAAUACCAUUAAAAAUCACUAUUUUCACCUCACCCAGGCCAAUUCACAGUUACAGUCUCAUUAUUAGUGCAAGAUGACUCGUUCUAAAGCCAACAACUCGAAGAAACAGAAGGGCAUUGACUUCAAGAAAAUAAGGAGAAAGGUUGGGAGGAAACUGCCACCACCUAAGAAUACAAAGAAUACUGAUAUUAAAUCUAAAG